AUUGAACGCUGGCGGCAUGCCUUACACAUGCAAGUCGAACGGUAACAGGUCUUCGGAUGCUGACGAGUGGCGGACGGUUGAGUAAUACAUCGGAACGUGCCCGAUCGUGGGUUUUCACGAGGCGAAAGCUUUGCUAAUACCCCCUACUAUCUACGGCGAACAGCGGGGGAUCUUCGGACCUCUCCCGGACUUGCCGGCCGAUGGCAGAUUAGGUAGUUGGUGGGAUAAAAGCUUACCAAGCCGACGAUCUGUAGCUGGUCUGAGAGGAUGAUCAGCCACACUGGGACUGAGACACGGCCCAGACUCCUACGGGAGGCAGCAGUGGGGAAUUUUGGACAAUGGGCGAAAGCCUGAUCCAGCCAUGCCGCGUGCAGGAUGAAGGCCUUCGGGUUGUAAACUGCUUUUGUACGGAAAGAAAAGCAUCUUUCUAAUAAAGAGGGGUCAUGACGGUACCGUAAGAAUAAGCACCGGCUAACUACGUG
rnacentral:rRNA from 1 species